ACAACAAUUAAUAUUGCAACAUUAAAAAAAAAAAUCUAAUUUGCUUGAUGGACUCAAAAUUUUUGGAUUAUCUCUCUGACUUAUUUUUUUCACAAAUUAAUUUACAUUUACAAUUGAAUACUUAUUAUUUUAUUCUUUGUUUAAUCCUUCUACAAUCAAUUCUUUUUUAUUUCUUCUUAAAAAAAAAAAUCACCCUAGAUCUCCAUGGAAAUGAUUCUGACUCAUCCUAUCUAUAUAGUUUAAGUUGAUUUUUAUUCUUGACCGCCUA
rnacentral:lncRNA from 1 species